UCCUCGGUAGUAUAGUGGUGAGUAUGC
rnacentral:piRNA from 1 species